UUUUUGUAUUAACAGGGAUUUUGAAAGUCUCUUAGGAGUAAAUUUUACUCGCCUAGUG
rnacentral:tRNA from 1 species